UUCGAUCCACUGUGUACAAACCUCUUUCCCCCAAAUUGCUUUAGCAUUUAGAAAACAGCAGCAAUACCAAGAACGCGCCUCACGCGCGGAGAAAAACCAGAGGGAGAUCGAGAGUGCUCUCUCCCGGCCGAACGCCGCCGGCUCACCUGCUGCUGUGUUCCGGUCCGGGAGAGGAUGACAACAUGGGCUAGCGGCGAGGUUCUAGGGCGGAGGCCUGGCUUAGGGAUGGAGGAAGGCGGCACGAUCUCGGACAAAGAAGACCGAUCUGGACUCUUUCUUCUUGGAUAGUGGGUGACUUCCGACAUGGAGCAUCGGCGAGGUGCGAUUUGCCGGCGGGGCACGUUUUUCCAGCUGCUUCUGGCGUCACGGGUGCUUAUGAGAGCUUGGAGAUGGCUGGGUUCUCGAUCUCAUGGCAGAGGCGAGCCCAGAUGCGAUCCGAUUCCUUAUGGAAUUUGAUCUAGAACGAUGGCCAGGUUCUGAUGUAGGCGACUUUGUGGUGUGACGGUGUUGCGGCGUUGGGAUGCGAUGCAGCCGAGGGGCAGUGCAAGGUGGAGAGAUGGCGGUGCGCGCGGACACGGGUUGCAGCCUUGGUGGAUUGUGGUUCGGCCUUGGUGGAUCGCAGAGCUGGUUCCGUGUGGGAAAUGGUGUUUGGGCUGGGCCUUGGUGUUAGGGCCCGGCUAUUUGGGCCUUUGUUUGUUUUCUGUUUUGUUUGGUUUGAGUUUAUUUAUUUUUGGUUGGUUUGUGUCUUUCAGUUUUUGCAGUGUUAAGUCCAUACUCUGUCGAGUUAUGGUAGUCGCCGUUGAUUCCGGCAAGCGAUUGGAGUUGAGUAGCUGGUUUGUUGCUAAAACCCUAAUUUUCUUCCCUGCCAUCCAAAAUCUAGAGUCAUAGAAUAGCUGAGGAGUGGAAUCCUUAGUCAAUCAAAGAUGAAAAUUCAGGUGCAGGGAAGAAAAAGAAGAGAGAUAUUCAUUGCCACCAAACCCUCCAUAUAGUAGAAUCCUUAGAUCUGGCUCCUUAUGACAAGCAAGCAACUCCUGAACAGAAUUCUCUCAAGGGAAUGAAAGAUCCAAAGCUUGAUUGAAAUCUAAAGACACAAAAAGAAGAUGGGCCAAGGAGAUCAGGUCUUGUCACUUGCAUGCUACUCAAAGAAGACUCGGGAAAUUUAGAUGACGCGAUGGAUCGAGACUGCAAAUAAUGUUGUUUUGUUGGAAAUAAAUGCUGCCUUAACACUUGAAGUCCUUUCUCUUUAACAGAAUACAUGAAGAUAUGCAUUGGUGCUGCACUGGCUGCAUUAGCAUUGUUGCUGGCAACUUUGAUGAAGAAGAGGAGGAGGAGGAAGAAGAAGAAGAAGAGGGAGACGGGAAGAAGUUGUCGCUCGAUUCGAACAAAUCAUCUCAGGGGUAUUGUUCCUGCUGCAGUUUGGGGUUUGAGUGAUUGAUUUGAGGACGUUGAAGGUUGAAGUUUGGAUCUUGGUUGUAAUCUGAAAACAGAGUUCUGCCAAAAACAAGUAAAACAGGUUUGAUCUCUAAUGAAAGUCUUUCACUACUAUUACAGUUCAAUUGCUUUGGGAGUCAUUUCUGUUGAGAAGAGAUGGAGCUAUCCCUGGUCUCACUUGAAAGAAACCUCCUUAAAGAUUUCCUAUUAUUCAUGCUAAUUAUAUAGGUCUGUUUUCUUCUUUGGAAGGGAUGAAGAAGCCGUGAAGAAAUCAACGCUGGUCUGCGCCGAAACAUUGAAGAAUGAGGCAAUCCAAGGAUCUUUUCUAGAAGCAUACUACACCACAGUAAGGACUGCUGCCUUCUUCCUUGCCUAGCAGUUUUUGGUUUCUCAACUUUCUCUCUAUUUACUUUCCUUGCUGCUGCCUCCAUGCACUUUGGCAUCCGUUGCUGUGACAGGCAAGCAGAAAAACAUGGAACUACAUCAUCAUCAUCAGCACCAUUGUCAGCUGCUAAAUAGAAAAACAAUUGAAUUGAAAUAGCUAUGUUAUAUAGCUUUUGCUAGACUAAUCAAUUUCGUGCAGCUGCAACUACAACUCCAAUCGGAGCCGUCACUUUUUUGAACCAACACUAGCAUUUUACAAAGCUGCAACUGAAACAACCAACUGGAGUACUUUGUACAAACUGACUCCUUAAAUUCACUCCAGCAGCUCCUUUUGAUAGAUUAACCUAUCUCUUAUAUCCUUUUUGUAAAGCUACAACUAGAAUAGCUAGCCUUUUUGUGCAGCUAGCAUGUUUGCAUCAUCUCCUUUCAAAUAGACUGCAGCUAAAAUCUAAGAUGUAUGAAAACUGUUUUCACUAUUUGAAUGAAAUGUGAUGAUUUUCCUUUUGUA